rnacentral:rRNA from 1 species
AACGCGAAGAACCUUACCCAGGCUUGACAUCCUGCUAAUCACUCCGAAAGGAGAGAGUGCCUUCGGGCCGCAGUGACAGGUGAUGCAUGGCCGUCUUCAGCUCGUGUCGUGAGAUGUUAGGUUAAGUCCUUCAACGAGCGCAACCCUUAUGCUUAGUUGUAUUUUUCUAAGCAGACUGCCCUGGUAACAGGGAGGAAGGGGGGGAUGAUGUCAGGUCAGUAUUUCCCUUACGUCUGGGGCUACAAACACGCUACAAUGGCCGGUACAAAGGGCUGCCAACCCGCGAGGGGGAGCAAAUCCCAUCAAAGCCGGUCUCAGUUCGGAUUGCAGGCUGAAACUCGCCUGCAUGAAGCUGGAAUCGCUAGUAAUGGUAGGUCAGCACACUACCGUGAAUACGUUCCCGGGUCUUGUACACACCG